ACCUUCUUCUCGGCUCCUGAAAAACUUUUUCGUUGCUCUGGUUCCAAAAUGAGAAUGUCCAUCGGCCUAUCCGCUUGCUGUAGAACUGCUUGAAAGUAUUUCCCCUGAUCCCUCGUCUUCAACUCUGAAACGCCACAGAUGUAUCCACAAGCUGUGGAUUUUUUCUCAUAGUUUUUCCCCCCAGGUGAUCGACGUCUUUGGAAGGUAGUUGGAAGGUUUGAACCUAACAAGAACACUCUAGUCAAUGGCCAAUAAGAGUCCUCUAGUUUACAUUUUAUUACUUGAUGUGUAACCCUUCACCAAUUUAAAGUGAAUUUAUUUCGUUUAAAAUCAUACAGCAAGGUGUGCAGUGUAUUUGCAGAGGAUAACACUGAAACAUUAAAACACUUGUUUCCAAAGUGGUCCUCGAUGAUAAUGGUGUCUAUUCAUUCGGGCUUCCAAGGGCAAAAAAUUGUCAGACAUUUUAGGUACAAUUCUACUAACAGCAUACAUAGUUAACAAUUCAAUCAGUAUGUGCAAAAAAGUAUGGAAAUGUAUGUUUUAAAAUGGUUGUACCUGGGGUUGGGCCUGGGGUGUGGACUGGGGUUGGGCCUGGGGUGUAGACUGGGGUUGGGCCUGGGGUUGGGCCUGGGGUGUGGACUGGGGUUGAGCCUGUGGUUGGGCCUGGGGUGUGGACUGGGGUUGGGCCUGGGGUGUGGAUUGGGGUUGGGCCUGGGGUUGGGCCUGGGGUGUGGAUUGGGGUUGGGCCUGUGGUUGGGCCUGGGGUGUGGACUGGGGUUGGGCCUGGGGUGUGGACUGGGGUUGGGCCUGGGGUUGUACCUGUGGUUGGGCCUGGGGUGUGGACUGUGGAGGAAGAGGUUGGGACAGCGUAUGGGGUUGGGCCUGGGGUGUGGACUGUGGAGGAAGAGGUUGGGACAGCGUAUGGGGUUGGGCCUGGGGUGUGGACUGUGGAGGAAGAGGUUGGGACAGCGUAUGGGGUUGGGCCUGGGGUGUGGACUGUGGAGGAAGAGGUUGGGACAGCGUAUGGGGUUGGGCCUGGGGUGUGGACUGUGGAGGAAGAGGUUGGGACAGCGUAUGGGGUGUGGACUGGGGAGGAAGAGGUUGGGACAGCGGAUGGGGUUGGGACUGUGGAGGAAGAGGUUGGGACAGCGGAUGGGGUUG
rnacentral:lncRNA from 1 species